rnacentral:rRNA from 1 species
CCUAAUACAUGCAAGUCGAACGAGAAGCCCGCAAAGGUUGUAAAGUGGCGGACGGGUGCAUAACACGUGGGUAAUCUACCCUUUGGUCUGAGAUAACCUGCCGAAAGGCGGGCUAAUACCGGAUAAGACCACAGCCCUGAGGGGUGGUGGGAAAAGGCCCGCAAGGGUCGCCGAUCGAUGAGCCCGCGGCCUAUCAGGUAGUUGGUGAGGUAAUGGCUCACCAAGCCUACGACGGGUAGCUGGUCUGAGAGGACGACCAGCCACACUGGAACUGAGACACGGUCCAGACUCCUACGGGAGGCAGCAGUGGGGAAUAUUGCGCAAUGGGCGAAAGCCUGACGCAGCAACGCCGCGUGGGUGAUGAAGGCCUUCGGGUUGUAAAGCCCUGUCGCCCGGGACGAACAAGCUCGUGAAUAGCGAGCCCUGACGGUACCGGGAGAGGAAGCACCGGCUACUCUGUCCAGCAGCCGCGGUAAUACAGAGGGUGCUAGCGUUGUUCGGAAUUAUUGGGCGUAAAGGGCGCGUAGGCGGCCUCGCAUGUCGAAUGUGAAAGCCCACCUCUUAAAGGUGGAAUUGCAUUCGAAACUGCAAGGCUAGAGUGCCGGAGAGGGGUGGGGGGAAUUCCUGGUGUAGAGGUGAAAUUCGUAGAUAUCAGGAGGUCCACCGUGUCGAAGCCGGCCACCGGGACGGUAUCUGACGCUGAGGCGCGAAAGCGUGUGGAGCAAACUCGAUUAGAUACCCUGGUAGUCCUCGCCGUAAACGAUGGGUGGUAUGGUUGGGGUAUUGACUCCCGCAGUGCCGUCGCUAACGCAUUAAGCACCCCGCCUGGGGAGUACGGCCGCAAGGCUAAAACUCAAAGGAAUUGACGGGGGUCCGCACAAGCGGUGGAGCAUGUGGUUCAAUUCGACGCAACGCGCAGAACCUUACCUGGGCUUGACAUCCUCCGAAUCUUUUGGAAACAAGAGAGUGCUUCCCGCAAGGGAAGAGCGGGGAGACAGGUGCUGCAUGGCUGUCGUCAGCUCGUGUCGUGAGAUGUUGGGUUAAGUCCCGCAACGAGCGCAACCCUCGUCUUUAGUUGCCAGCAGGUAAAGCUGGGCACUCUAGAGAGACUGCCGGCGUCAAGCCGGAGGAAGGUGGGGAUGACGUCAAGUCCUCAUGGCCUUUAUGCCCAGGGCUACACACGUGCUACAAUGGCACCCACAAACCGACGCUAACUCGCGAGAGCACGCUAAUCGGAAAAAAGGUGCCUCAGUUCAGAUUGCAGUCUGCAACUCGACUGCAUGAAGGCGGAAUCGCUAGUAAUCGCGCAUCAGCACGGCGCGGUGAAUACGUUCCCGGGCUUUG